AUGAGAGAGAAGAAAGGCUCAAAGCCUUCAACCUCUCCCUGCGCCUCUCUCAGAGACGCAUACCACAAUUGCUUCCACAGGUGGUAUACGGAGAAAUUCGUCAAGGGUCAAUAUGACAAAGAAGAAUGCGUCUCUGAGUGGCAAAAUUACAGAGCUUGCCUUUCUGAGCAUUUGGAAAAUAAGCAUAUGAUUCGUAUAUUGGAAGGUGAAAACGUUCUUCAAGACAGUGCUGUUGCUUCUCAGUAA